GAUGAACGCUGGCGGCGUGCCUAAUACAUGCAAGUCGAGCGAACAGACGAGGAGCUUGCUCCUUUGACGUUAGCGGCGGACGGGUGAGUAACACGUGGAUAACCUACCUAUAAGACUGGGAUAACUUCGGGAAACCGGAGCUAAUACCGGAUAAUAUAUUGAACCGCAUGGUUCAAUAGUUAAAUACGGUUUUGCUGUCACUUCUCGAUGGAUCCGCGCCGCAUUAGCUAGUUGGUAAGGUAACGGCUUACCAAGGCAACGACGCGUAGCCGACCUGAGAGGGUGAUCGGCCACACUGGAACUAAGACAAGGUCCAGACUCCUACGGGAGGCAGCAGUAGGGAAUCGUCCGCAGUGGGCGAAAGCCUGACGGAGCAACGCGGCGUGAGUGAUGAAGGUCUGCGGAGCGUAAAACUCUGUUAGUAGGGAAGAACAAAUGUGUAAGUAACUAUGCACGUCUUGACGGUACCUAAUCAGAAAGCCACGGCUAACUACGUG
rnacentral:rRNA from 1 species